rnacentral:rRNA from 1 species
GAAAUCAACCGAGAUUCCCCCAGUAGCGGCGAGCGAACGGGGAGCAGCCCAGAGCCUGAAUCAGUGUGUGUGUUAGUGGAAGCGUCUGGAAAGGCGUGCGAUACAGGGUGACAGCCCCGUACACAAAAAUGCACAUGCUGUGAGCUCGAUGAGUAGGGCGGGACACGUGGUAUCCUGUCUGAAUAUGGGGGGACCAUCCUCCAAGGCUAAAUACUCCUGACUGACCGAUAGUGAACCAGUACCGUGAGGGAAAGGCGAAAAGAACCCCGGCGAGGGGAGUGAAAAAGAACCUGAAACCGUGUACGUACAAGCAGUGGGAGCACAGAGCAAUCUGUGUGACUGCGUACCUUUUGUAUAAUGGGUCAGCGACUUAUAUUCUGUAGCAAGGUUAACCGAAUAGGGGAGCCGAAGGGAAACCGAGUCUUAACUGGGCGUUAAGUUGCAGGGUAUAGACCCGAAACCCGGUGAUCUAGCCAUGGGCAGGUUGAAGGUUGGGUAACACUAACUGGAGGACCGAACCGACUAAUGUUGAAAAAUUAGCGGAUGACUUGUGGCUGGGGGUGAAAGGCCAAUCAAACCGGGAGAUAGCUGGUUCUCCCCGAAAGCUAUUUAGGUAGCGCCUCGUGAAUUCAUCUCCGGGGGUAGAGCACUGUUUCGGCAAGGGGGUCAUCCCGACUUACCAACCCGAUGCAAACUGCGAAUACCGGAGAAUGUUAUCACGGGAGACACACGGCGGGUGCUAACGUCCGUCGUGAAGAGGGAAACAACCCAGACCGCCAGCUAAGGUCCCAAAGUCAUGGUUAAGUGGGAAACGAUGUGGGAAGGCCCAGACAGCCAGGAUGUUGGCUUAGAAGCAGCCAUCAUUUAAAGAAAGCGUAAUAGCUCACUGGUCGAGUCGGCCUGCGCGGAAGAUGUAACGGGGCUAAACCAUG